UCGAAAACCUACUAGUAGAGAAUAUAGACAUAUUCGGCUGAUUAACAAUUUUAUUGUUAUAGUAAUAUAAGAUAAAAAUUAUAAAAUUGUAUAUAAAUUAUUUCUUUGCAAGAAAUGCAACAAAUGACGGAUUUAAAUUCUUCAGUGUUAUGUUUGGAUAAGUGAUAGAUUUAGAAUAUAGUUGUGAUAGGUUAGGUUGCCAAUAGGCAACAAUAUUUAAUGAUUAUCAAUAAGAAAUAGAAGUGAAAAAAAAAACAGGAAUCUAAUUAUAAGUGAAAAUAAUAUGCAAUCUUGUCUUAUAGGAUUCGUUUAUUUAUAUAUAAACUAAUGAUCGAAUAACAAUUGAAAAUAACAAAUUCUCUUUUAUGUGAAAGAAAAUCUAGAGAGAGAAAAAAAAGAUAUAGUAUAAUCAGUGAUUUGAAAUAAUCAAUUUAAUGAAUAGAUCUGGAGAUAAAUAAAAAAAAAGUUGGUUAUAUUCACUAUGAAAUUUGAUGAAAUGCUAGAUUAAAAUUGAACGGGACCAAAAUAAAAUCCUGUAAAAGAAUUCGUCCAACUUUUCGCGGCCAAUUGCGGGGAAUUAGGAUGAACAAGUGAUGAUAUAGAUAUAUAAGAGAAAAUUUGAACGGAUUAGAGGAAAUCAGGGGAUCAAGAAGAAGAGAGGGAAUUAUAUAGGCAUGGUGAAGGAUCUCGUGAUCAAUGCGAGUACAAAAGACGAGAUAUUCGGGGAAUAUUAAAUUUGCCUGCUAUCUCUGUUCAGUAAAAUAAAUCUAAUAAUAUAGAGAAUGAAGCAUAUCAGGAUUAAAUAAAUUUCUAUUAAAUAAAUUUAUUAUUUCAUAAUACAAUCUCUCUUUGAAUCUAUUAUGUUUUAUAUAUUUAUCUAAUAUUUAAAUCAUACGCAAUAGUAGUUGAAUAAUUAUGAUUUAUGAUGUAAGUAAUCUCUAUCAAUCAUUUUUUUUAAUAUAUUAUGAAACUUAUUAAUAUUUUUAUUUUAAUUUUUAGCUUUUUUUUCUUUCAUUCCUCAUCAUUUUUUAUUUUUGCAUUCAACAAAAUAUAUGAUGUUCAAAUUUCAAUAUUAAAUUUCAUAAGUUUGAGAUAUUAUUCAAUUUUUAUCAUAAAAUGGAUCUUUUAUACUAAAUUUCAUUUAAAUUUAUUCACAUCUCGAUUCAUGUUCAAACUCAUUGCUAGACAACUAGAAUCUUGCCUCUUAAUUUAUUCAAUAAUAUCCGCAUUUACGAACCUGCGAGAUUAGUCGCGAAAUUCCAAAAGGACCAUCGGCAACCAAAGAGUUUCAUCUCGCGUUCCUUCAUGCCUGAGGCUCGCUCAAACGAUCCUCUGGGUCUGACUCGUGCUGAUUCCCGAAAUCAGGCAUCGGUUGGACGCUCCUCCGUAAUCCAAACGGCAUUCACGUAACCACAAUUUCCUCUGAAAAUAGCAGACCGGUUCCGCCUCUCUCUUCUCUUGCAAGAUGUAAUCCAAACCUUGGAUUUUAGUUGGUGGAUGCGUCAGAAAUCUCGCGAAGCACGAUAACACCGCAUUUCUGUUCACUUAAGCGGAUCGUUUCUGCACGGUUAGAGGAAGACCAACGUUUCAUCUUCAAGCAAGCGAAAAUCGCAAUCGAUGCCUUCGAGAUGAAUUCAUUUAAUAGGAUUAAUUCGAAUCUGGUGAGAUGAAAUCUUUUUUCUUUUAAAAAGCCAAUUGAAAUGUUCGAUUUUGUUUAAGAUAUUCGUGGUUUCGAGGCCCAGAUUUGAUUAAAAAUAAGUAUUGGAAAGAAGAUAAAAGGAAGGAUGAUAAAAAAACAUGAAAUUUGGACAAUGAAAUAUAAUUUGUCAAGAAAAUUAUCUUAUAAUAUUUAAAUAUUGAAAAUAUAUUAAAUUUUUUAAUAAAUAAAAUAACGUGGCAUAAUUUCUUAAAGAAACUUCAAUCAAAAUUUGAAUUACUCUUCUACUUUUUAUUUGAGUAAAAAUAAUACACUAUAAUAUAGUAUAAUACAUUAUAUUCUGAAUGAAGAAGUCAGAACCAUUGUCACGGAGCUACCAACUUGAGAUGCCAGAUAUUUGAAAACGUUAAAGAUCCAAAUGUGAGUCGCGCUUAGUCUAUUGGUAGAUCGCAAUAAUUGGAAUCGGCAUUAGGAUUCGACAGGCUAAUAGCUCGGCUGCCGAGAUACGAGCUGCAAUACGGUUUAUUGGCACAAGGGCGAACAGCACCGUUCAUAUCGAGUUUCUGCAACACCGGCGACGAUAUUUGUAGUCGAGUCAGCUGCGCCUCUCGAAUAACUCCUGUCCCAUGUGUUCCGCGCGCGAACACGCGCGCCAGCUAUGCACGAUGACGAACGUGCAAUCAUUUUAAUAGAACUGAUACAUGUGUGAUCGAUGAUCAAGAUAUGACGAGUGUCAUGGGAAUCGAGUUUCGAUUGGAACAUUAAAUAUUAAUGUGUCGAAUAUUUUGAGAGAAGGAAUGAUUAAAAUAAGAUAAUUAAGCUCUAAAGUUUGAAAAAAAAGCGAGGCGAGAUCACUAUGAUGAGAGUUCAAAAUGGAUUUUUCUAAAAUUUAACAUUCAAUCUAGGUGGCUCGAGAGUUAAAAAAAAAUUCAGGAAAAUAUUCCAUAGAGAGAGAAAAGUAAAUAAGAAACUGCUCGGAAUACAUCAAACAAAAUACAGUAUCCCAAUGGCACGAUAUAAAAUUUCUAACGUGGUCAGGAUUGAUGAUCUGGCAAUAUGUCUCUCGUGAAACACGAGGCACCGUGUUCCACGAGCUACGUUUCCAGAGUGGUCGAGAUGAAAGCUGGGCAAAGGCGUCAGGUGCGAUCAACCGUUUUCAAUAAGUUAUAGCCGACCGUCCACUCCCCAUCGAUCCUCGAGAUCAUCGUGUCAGCACGAGGAUCGCUUUCGAUUUUUGCAUGUUGGAUUUUGCCACGAUAUAUCUUGUUUGGAUUGGAUUUGCUAUUGAAAAUGCUUCUGAGAAUUUUGUCGAUCUUUGAUGUUAAAUCAAUGUGAAAUUUUUAUACCUUUGAUGUUGGGAAUUUCUGAAAAAUGAAAAAUUUCUAAAAAUUGGAAGAUUCAACUUAAUUUUGAUACUAAACGUAUCGAAAAUAUUUACAAAUUUCUGAAAUUAAUAUUUCCAAUAAUUCUAAAAAUUGAGGUUUCUUCUAUGUGGAAAAAUUUCUAAAUUAUGAUAAUCUUUAUAAUUUAAUUUUUAUUAUCGCGCUAAUCUUAUCAAAAGAUUUUGAAAAAUCUAUGACUAGCCACGCGUGAACAAAUGUCGUAAACAUAGAAAACACUGUACACGUUAGCCGAUUCUAUCGUCAACAGCGAUAAAUCAAUAUUUCAUAUCGAUAACUGUAACGAUACUUUGUGGAUGGCCUUGCUGUAAAAUUCGAAAGCAAUUUAAUAGCAAUUAAAACAAACGAGGAAUGAACGGUUGAAUAAUUUAACGAGUGAUAAAACGUUUGUUAAGGCCAAUUAUCGAUGUACAUUAACACAUACCGAUGAUCGUGCAACAUACAAACCAGUGAAUAGAUUAACAGGAAGCCAUUGACAACAAAGUUUCCUUUUGACAAACAAUGAUCUCACUUCGCUAUCGCUCGAAGAAAUUCAAUAGAUGAUUUCACCUAAACGAUAAUAUUGUAAUGUGAAGCAUAAGUAGAAACAAUGACAAUUGAUAGAUGGAUAUGAAUACUUAGAAGUUAGUGAAAUUAAAAGUUAAAUGAUACUAAGAAUUUUUAACGUAUAAGUAAGAACUAUUUUAAUAAUUUGACUAAUUGGAUGUAGACAAAAACAAUAUAAAGUAUACUUUGACAAUGGAUAAUUGGAUAUAGCUUAGAAAUUAUUGAAGUCAAAGUUAAAUAUCAAAAUUCUUUAUAUAUAAAUAAUUUGAUUAUUUAUAAUUGAAUAUUAAUAUAAUAAUAUAAAUUACAUUUUUUGAAAACUUGAUAGAUUAAUAUGUUGAUAAAAGCCACAACAACUUUGAGAUAUUAAAAAAGAAUAUAACUCAAAAGAAGGUUGAGAGACACUGAUCUCUCAACUCUGAUCCAAGAGUAAAGUCAAUUUCGAAACAAUAUCUUCUGUUCUCAGUAGAAACCUGGCAUCAAGCACGAAGACAAACCUAAAUUUCACCAUUGCUAACUCGAACAAACGGCAACAUACGUUAAUACUCUGAGGACACAAAGCGAUAUCAAAGUCCGAAAGCCGAGCAUUGCUAUAUCACAAAGUAGAAUCUUCUGACUUAUCAACUACAGAUUGAGCACUGUACAUUCCGGUUGACUUCUAAAGGACUGGCAUACAAUCGCUGGAAGUGGAUACUGUAUUCAGCCAGACGGGCUGUCAUCCAGCUGUACCCUGGCGAUUAGAAUUCCACCCACGCCAAGGAUCAUUUCCAAGUACCACCCUUCAUCGCCUACGCAGGAAAUUAAAAUCCCUAAACGAAGUUGUACAAAUCUUUCUAAACCGGAAGCGGCAACCACUGUCCAAACGUUCCAUCACGUUGCACUGAAACGAGUGAAUAAGAAGAACGAAUAAAUUACACGAUGUGGAAAUUAAGAAACUGGGCCUCGAGAACGCGAUUUCCUCUCGAUUUUUCACCGUUUGGCCGGCCACUGGCAAAAGAGGGAGGCUGUGCUAACUGUAGCGGUGCUCAAGGACUGGCGGAGAUCCGUGAAUCGUAACGGAUCGAAGGUCUUGGCCGGAAUUUAUUUUUUCGUUCGAUUUUACGUGAAGUAUGUGAACAUACAUAGCAAGUUUUACGAUUUCUUUCUUUCUUUUUUAUUUCUCCUAUUAUCGUGAUUUUUAUUUAUAAUAUUAUCGAAGAUGAUUUUUUUCCUUUCAACGAUUAAUACACGAUUAAUUCUUUAUAAUUGAUAAUUAAUUACUAGAGCAUAAAUAAAUUAAUCACAAAACCAUUACUAAUAUUAUAAUAAUUAAAUUAUAACUCAAUUACCAUUUUCCAUAUAUUGUAUCUUUUAUAAGGAUUAACAAUGGAUGCAACAUAUUUAAAAAUUUGCAACCUUAUGCAUUUCAAAAGGGAGCGACGAACGAUAACAAACGAGCCAUUUUGGGGGGUCAAAGUUAUUCACGCUGGUGUGUAGUUGCGGCCAAACAGCGGUGAAGCUAAGAAGUAACAGCGGUGGAGGUUUACGGCCGAUGCCAGAUUCGUGGAAACGCGAAAUAACGUGAUAUAAAUUGUGGAACAUUCUGUUAAUAAUAAUGGAAAUUUGAAGAAGGAAAGUUAAGAAAGCUAAGAAAGCUAAAGUAAUUGUAAUACAAAGGAUUGAUAUAAGAUAUAAUGGAAUAUAUGAUAUUUUGAAUAUAUCAGAUAUAUUGGAUAACAUUUGCACUUCCAAAUAAACUUUUACUGAUUCAUAAUACAUAUUUUCCUUAAAUAUUCUUCUUUUAAGUAAUAUUAUUAUGAUAAAGCAAGUUCAUAUCAAAUAAUUAAUAAUAUUAACAUCAAAGUACAUCAAAGACUGAAAAUUUAAAAGAAGAGGUUGAAAAAAAACGUGGAAAUCAACUUUACGCUCGAUCAUGAAACAUAUCUUCCUCGACUCGAAGCAAAAAUAUCAAGAAUCUCUUUCUCUCUUUCCAGGAAAGUGCAUUCAAGUAUUCUCGAGGAAUCUCGUAUGAUUUACGAUAAGAGAGAGAAAAAGAGAGAGAGAGAGAGAGAGAGAGAGAGAGAGAGAGAGAGAGAGAGAGAGAGAGAGAGAGAGAGAGAGAGAGAGUUGCCUACGAAACGGCGAGGAAAAUUAUUUUCGUAUCCGUCCCACUUUCAAGAACCAGUCAGCGAUUUACACUCCUGAUACGUCGAUUCCGUGGCCCUUGUGCGACAAUGUACAACAUCCCUCCAUUCCUUAAAAAUGGAAGCAACGAAAAUGCAUUCCGCCUCGGCGGAAUGCGCGCACGUCGCAUAGGAACGGAGACACCGAUUUCUCCUUUAUUUCUGCUUCGUGGUGAUAUGUCUCGACAGAAAUAUCCCUUGUUCGUGAACUUUGCUUUUUUGAUAUUCGUAGGUGGACAUAUAUGUACAUACUCGUUUCGAGUAUCGAGAUCUUUUUCUUUGUCAAAUAGUUGUGCAUUUCUUUUUUGAAGAUCUUGAAUUUGGUUAGAUAUGGUUUGGUUAGGUAUAUACAAUUUUGAGUAUAAGAUCUCUUUCUUUGUUUCAGGAAUUAAUAUGAAUGUAUAACCGAAUAUUAAUGUAUUCUUAUGAUUACUGAUAUAUUAUUUAUGCUCCUAUGGAUUCGAGAGCAGAAUAAAUCCAACGUGACAAAAAGCGACUAAAAGGGAAUCAAUGAGUAAUACUUGAUUUAUGGAGUAUGCAAUUAUGGUGUAUCUGACAAAGAUUAAUAAAUAAUUCAAAGUGUGAAAAAACGAAAGGGUUCAUCGAUAUCAUCGGCAAUUGUGUCAGAAUUCGACGAUACACACGCGUUAGCAACAAAAUGGCGACAAGCCGAACUGAUUUUAUUCACGACCUUUGUCACGGAAGUACUUUAGAUGCAGGUGGUGGGCCGCAGAGGAAAAAUAGCGGAAAGUUUUCCAUUUUAGAUGGGCCACCGAUAAAGGAAAGAGAGACACGUAUAAUGGGACGUGUCUUCUCUACGAUUCCGCCUCAAGAACGAUCUGCUUGCACUUCUAUCUAUAAUUCAUCCUCACAAAUCAUUCUCAUACAUUCAGAAUUAUUCCAUUAUUUUUUUCUAUUUAUUUCAAUUUUCUUUCUACCAUAAUAAAUGCAACAGAAAAAAAAAUUAGAUAUAAAUAUAUGAUUGAUAAUUUAGAGAUAGUUAAGAAAGAUUAGAAUACAAAUUUCUGUAUAACUGAGAACAAUGUUUCAAUUAUUAUUAGCUUAUUUGUGGGACGAAGAGUGGAGUAAUUAGAAUGGUUGAUUGAGUCUUUGAUGAUUCGAUUGUUAUUUGAUUGAGAAAUAUAAUAUAUACCUAAUAUAAUCAUAAUAUAAUAGCUACCUAAUAUAGUCACAAUUGUAUAUUCAUUCUCUUUGUAGGAAGCAAUGUUGUAUGCAUCUUCAAAAGGAGGAAAGCAGAAUUAAAUCAUCAACAUAAUAUUAGCUGUAAAACAUUUUGCAGAUAGUUCUUGGCUUUCGUUAUUAUGAAAACACGUUUCAAAAGAUAAAUUCUAUAGUUUAAACCACAAUGUUUAAACUGAAAUUAAAUCAUUAAGCUAUUUUAAUAAGUUUGACCUCCAUAACUGAACUUCUAUAUGCAUUAAUUCAUAAUCUGUAAUUUUAUUGGAAGCAAAUAAUACGAUCAAUAAAAAAAAAAAAGGUAAGUUCUGAAAUUUUCGAAAGCUUUCAUUUAACACGUUAUUUUUACAGAUAUUGUCCCUUGUUUAUCGUUCAACUUUUAUAAAUAAAGUUUUUUCGUGUCUCUAAAAAUAGCAGAAGCAAUUAAGGCAAGCAAAGCUGUUAGUUCACCCUUUGUACGUACAUAUACGCCUUUCCUAAAAUCUCUUUUUGGCGGAUUAUCGUCAAGCGCUGUAGUGCGCGCACAAAACUGCGUUAUACUGAGAGAAGUUUCCUGUACAAAUGCGUUGUUGAAAAUUUGCCUCGUUAAUAGACACAUUCGCAGAAGUGCGUUGUAUCAUUAAAGCAAUUGUCUUAUAUUGCUAAUCCUAUUAUCGCCAUACUAUUCCCAAUGUAUGCGAAGAUAUUUCCAAAUUGCGACGAUCAUCUUUAUAUUGCUUGAAAAUUUUCGCAAAAAUGAAUUCUAAAAUCUCGAUUAUAAAUUUUAAAAUAUCAUUGAAGAAGAUAGAAAUAUGUAUGAAACACUUUAUCAUGCUCGAUGUAUUAACAUUUUUCUCUCGUCGAUAGAAUCUAACCUCAAAAUGAUACUGAUUUAAAAAUGCAUUUCAUUAAUUUACAAACAAAAAUUACUAAAUCUUUAUUAAAGAAUGAUUAAAAACAGUACAAAAUAUAAUUCAAAAUUGAAUUAACAAAAUUCUUCUCAAGUUAACAUCUAACUUUAAAAGCCACAAACUCUCUUUUCAAGAUUCAACAUAUAUUUACGAAACAUUUUUUCUCGAUAUUUUUAUCGACACAUAUUCAUUCUUUUAAUACGAUAAUCUUAUCGUGCCCAGUUUUCUUUCAGCUCUCGUACCUUUCCACACAAAACGUCCCACGUUCGAGGGUCCAUAGUCUUCGAAGAAUUAUUUACAAGGAUGCAGUGAACGAGGACGUAAUAAACAUCGAAGCCGAUUACAGAACAGAAGUCGAAGGCGCGGCAAUGGAUGACGUUUCCUAGUCGAAACAAUGGAACUAUUUCGUGGAAGGCUGUACCUAGGAGAUUAGCAGAAAGAGGGUGUCGAUGGAAUUGGUCAGUCGAGUGGAACGUUUCCUGAGAUGAUUUUCCAUGAGAAUUAUAGGCACGGUUUCUAUGGAAAUUUAUAAUUAAUUUUUGUGAAAAAAUUAGAUAUUUUAGAAUACUGUAAUUGUGAUUUUUUUUUAAUAACUUUUAAUAUUCUAGGAUUGAACUGUAUUAUAAUUUUAAUGUUGGGAUGAAUUUUCACAAGAAUUUUCAAUAUUUUGUAAUAUUAAAAUAUCCAUCUAUUCAAUAUUUA